CGGACGGGUGAGUAACGCGUGGAAAACCUGCCGUAUACUGGGGGAUAACACUUAGAAAUAGGUGCUAAUACCGCAUAAGCGCACAGCUUCGCAUGAAGCGGUGUGAAAAACUCUGGUGGUAUACGAUGGUUCCGCGUCUGAUUAGCUAGUUGGUGGGGUAAUGGCCUACCAAGGCAACUAUCAGUAGCCGGCCUGAGAGGGUGAACGGCCACAUUGGGACUGAGACACGGCCCAAACUCCUACGGAAGGCAGCAG
rnacentral:rRNA from 1 species